rnacentral:lncRNA from 1 species
GACUCGGCGGUUGCACUGUUCAUUUUCCUGUAUGAAUAGAAUUAAUAGUGGUGUGAUGUUGAGGAAGUGGUUACGAUGGCAUCGAUCCCGUCAUGUGCGAGUGGGAGAUGUUGGCAUUCGGUUAAAUCGAAUCGGGUACGCCCAUAAGCGGGUUCGAUCCGACGGAUAUUAUGUUAUUUAAUUUGAUUAGGAUUAAUCUCGCUUUCAAAUUGAAAAGCUAAUUAGAGAUAAAUCUAAUCAUAUUAGGAUAACAAAUAAUAACCGAUUUGGCCUUAUCUCUAACGCUAUUAGGUUUUUGGAAUCCCUUAUAAAUAGACGGGCGAUCCCACAUAAAACGAACGAACAAAAAAAGAGAGAGAAUAAGAAAAUAAUAGAGAGAAACCACAUCCUCCAUUGACCUAUUAUUCUAGAGGGACUUGCACGGUAGAUUUGCGAUCGCGCUCGUUUGUAGUUCGAUCCACCGCGAGUUCGGAGAGUUAGAAGAUUUUCAAAGAAGUUUCAAGGACACGUAAAUCAAUCUAUCCGAUCCGGCUCAAAUCGCUUCCGCAAAAAGGUACGAACCGAUAACUGCCGCUGCGUUCUACAGUUGGAAAGGCUUGAACAGAGAAGGAGAGAGUUGCAAUUCUAUCUGAAUGUUAAGAUAAAGUCAUGUCAUG